CUAUAAUACAAGUAUAUAUACACAUUUAUGCAACUAACAUAAUACAAUUACCUCACAAUGCUGAAUACGGUAAACAGACCCUUACACAGUUUGGAGCUCAUCCUUCUGGGAUCAAGGAUUUCUGGAGUUUAAAGUGGAAUGGUAGAGCAUAAGCGAAGCCGGUUGGAGCAAGAUUUCCUACACAGGAAAUGACUUAGCAGUUUACCCCCUCGUAGUGUCAUAAUUUUUCGGCUCGUCCGGAGGAAUCAUCACUCGAUCUACGUCCAACCUCCGCUGAGACCUUGCAUGCAGUUCGGUGAUAUGUCUUCAAGGCAGCAAUGACGACUGGAGACUGGAUGGAAAGUCCGUUUGCCUUAUUUGGGGAUUGCGUAGUGGAAGACCUUCGACCUUUUCUGAUUGCUCAUGACGAGGCAAGGCGCCAUAUCUGAGAAGCUUAACCGCAGGACUGCAGUCUGUAAGCACACCAACGGAUCGAAGUGGUCAGUACCCAUUAGAUCUAUGCAAACACGAUCUCUAUAUGUCAUAAAAGGUGGAUUGAAAUGUAGAACCACUACCAGUGUCAAGAGCAAAACACUUGUUGUAAUCUUUUGGAAUUGCUACUGGAAAUAAAAAUUGUAGUAAU